GAAGACUUCCAAGAAAUUUCUUCACUUGUCGUGUAUUAUUUUUUUUGAUAGGAACAAACACUAUCGUUUCUGUGAUGUUUGUUAUUUGCGAUAUAUGUCAGUGUGAAAUAUCCUCAGCGGAUCUUUAUGAAUACCACGUCAAUGGGAAGAGACAUCAGGUCCAACUGGAGCGGUACAAACGCCGGAAGGACGAGUCCGAGCGCAGUGUGUACGCCCGGGGAUUCCCACCCUCCACCCAGGAGCACGAACUGCUGGCCUACUUCUGCAUGUUUGGACCGGUGGAAAAAAUAGUUUAUGAUGAAAAGAAAUCCAUGAAAACUAAAGUUCCUGCUUUUGCCAUUGUGGAGUUUAAAUCAGCUGACACAGCAAGAUCAGUGGCAACUUAUGGGCAGCACGUCAUUAACAGUCAGCGCAUAGAGAUCAGGCCACGCACAUUUAAAGAACUGCGAACAGAGCCCUACUUCCCAUGGCAACGGGAAGAUAACAAUAGGGAUCUGCCGUGGCAGAAGUAUAACGAGUUACACCAAAAGCUGUCCGCCAACAACAUACAGAUGGGUCCCUACGAAGCCACUCAACCACGGCGCAAGGGGAAAAUAAAAGGCCCCGCACCCAUCAAGCAGGGGAGAGCCAAGGAUUCCGAGGGUCAGGACAUCGUACCCAUCGAUGUGAAGGAGUUCCAGACUUAUCUGGAGCAGCAUCAGUGUGUCGGGAUUCAGACCCAGGUGAUGUUGUUAGUAGAGCUAACCCAGGUCACCACAGCCGAAUUCCAGUCUCGCUACACGAUCUGUAAAACUCUGGAGGACGCACUCAGUCCGUUCUUUCCAGGAAUGACAGUGAACCAGUUUGGAUCCUCGGUCAAUGGUUUUGGAAUCAAGGGCUGUGACAUGGACGUCUACAUUGAUCUGACAAAACUGGGAAUUCCCUGCCGAACCUCAAACAUAGUACUUCCCUACAUCAAGGACCUGUACACACUGAAGAAGAAGAACAGUGGCCCCCUCUCCCAACAGGAAGUGGACAACAUGCGCCCCAUGGACAAACUGAAGCUCAUCCAGCGCAUCAUCACUGAGCAUGCUCCGUCGUGCAUGGACACACGCAUCAUCCCGAGCCAGCGCUGUCCGAUCCUGCGAUUCACUGACUACAACUCCCAGAUCAAGUGUGACCUCUCUAUCAAUAAUAAACUGGCCCUUCAGAACACGCGCCUCCUGCAAACCUUCAGUCUGUUUGACGCUAGGAUAAAACCCCUGGUCUACUCAAUCAGGUACUGGGCCAAGCUGAAGGGCAUCGCGGGGAACCCCCAGGCCUGUAACCGCCUGUCCUCCUACGCCCUAACCAUGCUGGUCAUCUACUACCUGAUGAACACCACGCCCCCGAUACUACCCCCGGUGGAGGAGCUCUCCAGGAUGUGUGGGAGAGAUAGGACCAUUGUCGACCAAUGGGAUUGUUCCUUUGUGUCGGCUCAGUUCAUGCCUCCCACCCCCAACAUACAGACCAUAGAGGAGCUACUGUAUGGGUUCUUCCAGUACUUCAGCCAUUUUGAUUUCCUGGCUAAUCCCAUGUCUGUGAGGACAGGGAAACCUAUCACCUUGGAUCUGUCGGUGCUGGAAAAGACACUCAAGGUUGGAGUAAUCAUCCUUCAGGAUCCCUUUGUUCUCAAUCACAACAUCACACAGAACGUUAACGAGAAGAUGCUGACUAAAAUAGUGAAGGAGAUGCAGCUUGCUGUCGUGAAAUCAGAGCGAUGGUUCGAUGUUGCAAAUGCAGAAACAAAAAGUAUCAUGGACAUUUUUAGUGAGGACGUCCCUGUGGGAUUCCAACCAAAAAAACUGAAGAUGUCCAGGAAACCUAAGGGCCUAGCGGAGAUCGGACCGUACCAGUUCUUGAUUGACAUGAAUAUGGACAAGCUGUCGCGGGCGGACAUCCAAACACUGCAGGCCUCGGGGAACAUGCGACUCACAUGGUGUAAGAAGAUGAUUGUGUUCCUGUAUCGACAGAUCGAGCGACUCCUGAUGUUUGACUGCGAACUGGCUGUGGUUAAUCUCCCAGUGACGCUCAAACCGUCCCGAACUUACUCUGUAUACAGACACGUUGGACAACCCCUCCGCCCCAUUACAGAGGAACAGGGCACGGAGCAAGAGAUGGAGGGUCAAGAGGAAGGAAUGGAAGGUCAGCAGGAUGUGGGGACCAGCCAAGAGGUGGAGAAAAACUGGUCAGAUCCGAACCAGCCAAGCACUUCCCAGGGAGAUGACCAGCACUUCGCUGAGGAAGCUGAAGAAAGCUCCCAACCCCAGAUGACUGCCCCUGGGGGUGAGGAGUACGCUGAUGUAGACUUUGGGAGCCAUGGGGGCUGGGCACCUGCUGGGGAGGGCCCCACCCUUCCACAUGUAGUGGAUGGAACAGAACUAGUCCCUGUAGAAAACCCACUAGACAAUGAUGAAGAAGAUGAAGAGGAAGCAACGCAGAGAAAGGAAGAAGAGCAGAGGAGAUUUGAGGAAGAGGAGAACCAGCGACAAGAUCCGUCUUAUAUUCAGUAUGAUUUUGGAGAUUCUGAGUAUUACGUCGAUAUGGAUGUCAAAGUCAUGUGUAGGAUUUGGGUGGAGCGAAAAAAUCUGAUAAAGGAGUUAAAAGAAAGAGGGUUUAAGGAAAACUUGCAGUUAGAACAAAUUGUGUCUGAGAGGCUAUUCUACGAGGUGCAUGGGCCCGCCCAGAAGCCAAUCACAGAAGUUCCGGUGUGUGAUGCGAUCCUUGGUCUCUGAUAAUGGGGCCUCGGUGCUCGUGGAUUGUAUGGCUGAUACACGACAAAAGGAAUACGACUGUAUUUAUCAUUACAUGAAGAAGUUUGUCCUCAAAAAUGUCGACAAAUUCUUUUAUGCGUAACUAUUUGAAGUGUUAUGUGAGAAACAUUUGUUGGAAUAAUUUUUUUAUUUCCUGUAUGGAACAAAUUAAAGAUGUUUGUUGAGAAUAACAUAUUCAGUUAAUUGUCUCUUGUAUUGUUCUUUGUAUUGGUGAAGUAAUAGAUAAAUAAUUGGAAAUUGCGAUAGAAACAAGCAAUCAUGGGAGAGGCUUGACAUUAACACAUAGAGGAAGCCUGUCUCCGAUUACUCUGAUCUUUAAGCUCAAUGUAGAAAUAAGCCCUACUGCUCUAGUUUACCUACAAUCAGUGGAAAUGUAGAGACAUGUAUGUAUAUUGUACCAGUUGGUCUAAGUACUCAUGUACUUACUUUCCUGUUUUCAUAUUAUGUAUUUUAUCAUUGAAGUACUUGUGUCUGUACAAGAAUCAUGGUUUUACUUUCCAUCUUUAUUUACUGGCAAUCUGUGUAUGUUUUGACCAAUAGUUUGUGACUUUG
rnacentral:misc_RNA from 1 species